ensembl:lncRNA
GAGAAGAAAAGAGGUUGUCAAGGAUUGCCCCGCAAUCCAAGACCUCUUAGAGAGGUGGCCUUCUCUGUUCUGUGAAAAUCAGAUCAAAGAGGAGUUUAAGCGAAUAACCACAAUUCAUCUGGAGCGAACGUUUUUGUCCAGAUUGGACAGGUACACCACCAAACUCCUGGAGAUAUUUCGAAGGAAGGGCGGGACUGCAGGGACCAAAAUAAAACCAAUGUUGGACUCACUGAAUAAGCAUCAUGUCGAUGGCAGAAGGGACAUUAUCAUUCGUUGCUUAGUUGAGUAUCUUGGAGAGAGUGGAGAGGAGCUGAUCAAAGACCAUCAGGAGGACGUCAGCCAAGAAGCAUUGAAAGAGGACUGCAGUAAUCACAUGAUGAAGAUCAUCGUAAUCCAUCCCAAUGUGGCACAGGAAAACCAAGACCCUGUGAACGUGUCGGUCAUCAUUGAGGGGACAGAAAUUCUGGAGGACUGUGUGACAAACGCUUGCCUCCUGCUCAUGGGUGUCAUCUAUGCUGCCAAUUUAAGUUACCCACUGAAACUGAAAUAUACGUUUGAGGUAUUUCAGAAGCUGUUUCUUGAGCUUGACAUCCUUAAAAUGUCACCAAAGGUCCAGUCUCUCCACAAGAAACUUUUAGUGUGAGUGUUCCAGUGUUAUUUGUGCUUUUGUCCAGCACAAUUAAUUUGUUUGCAUUUUGUCUGUUUUCUGACAGUAAUUUCAAAUGUUGCUCAGUUUUAUACAAGUUCUUUCUGUCCUGAACGUUCUGAGAAUGUCUGCAAAGGUAGUGAUUGCAACUGUUAAUGGACAGAGUUGAUGUAUGUGUUCUGAAAGUUGAUUAGAAGAAAGGGGACAGUGCACACUGAGUUUUUGAAUAGCAUGUUUUGUUUUUUUUGUAUAUGUGUAUAUGCUCUGUUUUGAAAUUUGCGAGCAAGAAGUUCUAUGGCCAUGUUUUUUGUGGUUAUAAUGUUUUGUAGAUAUUUUAAAUAUAUCUAUGCCAUUUCAACUGUGAAAUAAAAGUGUCCCUUAAGCUGCAAAUAUUUGUUUUGGAAAAUAUUGAUUUAUUAUUUAAUAGAAUAAUAAGAAUAUUUAUUCAAUUCGAUUAAUAUUAACUAGUACAUUCAUAAUAAAUAUUACUUAAUAAUUACAUAGAAUAUAUCAAAGAAAAGAUGAGUAAGAAACACAAA